rnacentral:rRNA from 1 species
UGAGAGUGCGAGCGAAUGGAUUAAGAGCUUGCUCUUAUGAAGUUAGCGGCGGACGGGUGAGUAACACGUGGGUAACCUGCCCAUAAGACUGGGAUAACUCCGGGAAACCGGGGCUAAUACCGGAUAACAUUUUGAACCGCAUGGUUCGAAAUUGAAAGGCGGCUUCGGCUGUCACUUAUGGAUGGACCCGCGUCGCAUUAGCUAGUUGGUGAGGUAACGGCUCACCAAGGCAACGAUGCGUAGCCGACCUGAGAGGGUGAUCGGCCACACUGGGACUGAGACACGGCCCAGACUCCUACGGGAGGCAGCAGUAGGGAAUCUUCCGCAAUGGACGAAAGUCUGACGGAGCAACGCCGCGUGAGUGAUGAAGGCUUUCGGGUCGUAAAACUCUGUUGUUAGGGAAGAACAAGUGCUAGUUGAAUAAGCUGGCACCUUGACGGUACCUAACCAGAAAGCCACGGCUAACUACGUGCCAGCAGCCGCGGUAAUACGUAGGUGGCAAGCGUUAUCCGGAAUUAUUGGGCGUAAAGCGCGCGCAGGUGGUUUCUUAAGUCUGAUGUGAAAGCCCACGGCUCAACCGUGGAGGGUCAUUGGAAACUGGGAGACUUGAGUGCAGAAGAGGAAAGUGGAAUUCCAUGUGUAGCGGUGAAAUGCGUAGAGAUAUGGAGGAACACCAGUGGCGAAGGCGACUUUCUGGUCUGUAACU